GGCAGCCGCGGUAAUUCCAGCUCCAAUAGCGUAUAUUAAAGUUGCUGCAGUUAAAAAGCUCGUAGUUGAAUUUCGGGAUCAAUAUGUUGGUCGUGCCUCGGUACGUACUAGCUUAUUGGUUUCUCCUUCUGACGAACCAUGAUGUCAUUUAUUUGGUGUUAUGGGAAAUCAGGACUGUUACUUUGAAAAAUUAGAGUGUUUAAAGCAGGCUCACGCUUGAAUACAUUAGCAUGGAAUAAUGAAAUAGGACGUUUGAUUCUAUUUUGUUGGUUUCUAGGAUCGACGUAAUGAUUAAUAGGGAUAGUUGGGGGCAUUAGUAUUCAAUCGUCAGAGGUGAAAUUCUUGGAUUUAUUGAAGACUAACUACUGCGAAAGUAUUUGCCAAGGAUGUUUUCAUUAAUCAAGAACGAAAGUUAGGGGAUCGAAGACGAUCAGAUACCGUCGUAGUCUUAACCAUAAACUAUACCGACUAGGGAUCGGAUGAUGUUAAUUUUUUAAUGUACUCAUUCGGCGCCUUACGG
rnacentral:misc_RNA from 1 species